GGGCGCUGCGGGGACCGACGCUGCUCGCGCUCUCCCGCCCGGAAAUGAAAGCGAAACGGUCACGGCCGGGCGAUUGCCUGACUACAUUUCCACGAUUUUAAGUGCAAUAAAUAAACCUUACCACAAGAGGACCCCCAAAGCCAACUCAUAAUGGGGAAAACGAGCUGCUACAAAGUUGUCUUCAGAAUAUUACUGCUAGAGACUGGUGUGCAGAGCCAAGGACACUGC